rfam:Hepatospora eriocheir strain GB1 NODE_4527, whole genome shotgun sequence.
GGGGAAUUGGUAUAGUGGUAGCACGUUCGCUUAGCAUGCGAGAGAUCGAGGGUUCGAUUCCUUCAUUCUCCA